GUACAAUUAAGCCCACUGCUCCUUUCUCAGAGUGCAAUGGCUGCAAACAGCAGCUUCCUUGGUAGUUAUGCCACAGCCUGUUACUUGUAUGGGUUGCCCUCAAGUACCUUUCCAAUGAGC
rnacentral:snoRNA from 1 species